rnacentral:lncRNA from 1 species
UUCGGCGGCGAAGUCGAUGAAGGAGGCGCUCGCGUCGAUGGAGCCACGAGAAAACUCGUUCUCUCUCACUCUCUUGCGAAUUCUCUCUCUCUUUGCUCUUAUUUUCUCUGUCACUCUCUCUCAUUCUCUCUCUCAUUCUCUCUCUCUCUCUCUCUCCUCCUCUCUCUCUUUCUCUCUUCUUCGUUCUCUCUCCAGUCUUCCGCGACCUUUCCUUCCGUACGCGUCGUUUUCUUAUCAUGUAGUGCGAGAAAUGUACAAAUAACAAAAGGACCGAAUCAAUUAACAAAAAUCCCUUCCUUUCUACGUAGUUUGAUGGGUGUAAUAAUCGGGGUAUGUGAAAAAGUGUGCGUAUAAAUAAUCUAACGCGACAACUAUGUUCGGGAUGUCCUCGAGCUUGAAAAUCUUCGUCAGUUGUCGUUGUCAUCGUCGUUGUUCGAAGCUCGUUGAAGCUUCGACAGUGAAUCGUGGCUGCAUUGUUGGCACUUCUUUUAAGAAAAGACGACUUUUCUCCUGGCUUCUUCGACAGUGAAAUUUUGUCCCUGGAACUUGCUCGUUUCUUUUACCUUCUUUUUCUUUCUUUUUCUAAUAGCAAAA